GGGAGGAUGGCUCAAAAAUGGGAGAACGCGGCGUUCGCAACGCCAAGGCCGGGAGUUCGACCAUCCUUCCUCUACCA
rnacentral:tRNA from 2 species